GCCCCGUGAUGCCACCAGGGUGGCUUCUCUUUCUGUCAAUCUUUGCGAAGGACACAGAUCUUGUCAUUCUGUGUUUCUCGAUGAAUUAUGCCACAAGGAGCUAUAUAAGAUCUUUCCUUUGAACACCUGACAAAGCUUUCGAGCCUUCCUUUAGCAUCUCCGUCUGUCAUCAAGUCGUGGUUGUCCUUGAGCUGACGAUGUCUCAACAGCAGUACAAGCAGUCACCAUGCAUCCCACCGGUAUCCUGCCAGUGUACUUCAAGUUGCUCAAAGUCAUGUGAGUCAUCAGCAUGUUAUGCCUUGUCUGGACCUCAGUGCCCAGGGUCAGCUGGACCUCAGUGCCCAGGAUCUACUGGAUCUCAGUGGCCAAUAUCAACUGAAACUCACUGCUCAGGAUCAACUGGAAGUUCUUGCCAGAAUCCCACCUACCCAUCUGGAGGAGAGGGAUGCUUCUGCCACCGCCACCCGCAGCAGCAGUGCUAAACUCCUGUAGGAAGUGUCCUUUGUCUAGCGAUGGCAGCCUAUCAAUAAAUGUUUGUUUGUCAGCAAA